UAGCUUCUGCCACAGGGGUACCUUCCCCAACCUGGUCUCUUCUUUUGGCCUCUCAUGUCUUGUUGGUGUACGUGAGGGGGUGGAGAAUGUAAGGAGGUUGUGGGCCUGGAUAUUGAUGAGCUUGGAGAGGUAUGGUGGGGUCUGGCACGGUGGGAGAAUCAGAGGAAAGGCUGUUAUCAAGAUAAGUGAGAUGGCACCUCUGGUCAGACUGGGGCAGCAGCCCUCCACUCUCCUCCCAGCUGCUCUGAGGGCCAGGGAGGCAAGUGUGGGCUGUCCUGGGAGUAGCAAUGUUGGGGAAUUUCAGGUUCAGACCAGCCUUCUUUUUGCUUCUAUAGCCCUUUCAAACCCUGCCCUCCACAGUGGCUGGCUGGCUUGGAGAAAGGAUCCCCUGGAUCAGAAUUUGUGUUCAGUUUCUGUGUCUGGGAGUGUGUGUGUGGCCAAAUGUGUAUAUGUCGUAGUCUCCAUGUUCCUGUGUCUGUGUGUGUGUGAGUGUAUGUGCACAUGUGUGUGGCCACAUGCCUGUCUGCUGGGCACUGGGUCCCUCUGAGAAUAGCUGUGAGCCCUAGAGUUUCCAUCUGAUUUAGGCUCCACAUCCCUCCCCAGCCUCCCUCUUACUGCCUCCUAUUCCUGCCUGGAUCAUCAGUACUCUAGAGGGAGGAGUUUGGGGAGAAGACGUGUGGCCCUUCUUUGUUACCCCUGCUAGGUUCAGUUCUCCCACAGGUGCGCCUAGGCGCUGACCUCUCAGCUCACCCUGGGUCCUGAUGUCCUUGUCCAUUCUGACCUUCCCAGUCUCCCUAUUAUUCCUGCCCCUGGUAGGUGGACAGGAGGCUCUCCUUGUGUUUUCCAUAAGAGAAGGCAGAGAGGAGGGAAGGAGCUUAAGGAGCACCUCCAGGUGCCUGUUGCUGUACUGGGGGCUUCACAGUCCUGCACCUGGGAGCUCUGAAGAGCUCACACUCUGAAAACUAAGGUGGUGGCUUUCUAACAAUGAGCAGAGAAAUCUCCAGCUGCAUGCUGCCUUCCUCUGUACAGUGUCCUUUACUCUGGCCACUGGGCUUCGCUGAGCUAGGCUCAAGGCAUCACUUGAGCCAGGCUGUGUGCAUGCCAACCAUCCUAGCUGGUAACUUCUGGCAGUCGCGCUGAGAAUUCCACUGGGAAUUCCACGGAGGGAGUAGAUUCUUAGCCAUGAAUGGGCACCCCACACGCCCCUCACCCCUGCAUUGACCCUGGGUUCCUUUCCAUCAUUCAGCUCUUGCUCCAGUGCAGAGGUGGUAGGCUAUGAAUUCAGAAUCCAAGCCCGCUGACUACCAGGCCUGCAUGCCAUCCUUCUUGGCAGACCACACUGCCUUCCAGAAAUGAUGGGUGUUGCUAGACCCAGCUGGGACUGAGCCAGGCUCCAGUGCUCAGUCUAAGAGAGGGGCCAUCUUCCAGCCCUGCUCCCCUACCUGUCAUGGCCACACUCGGCUGCUGCCUGCUUGUUUGGGAACACAGGGCAUCCAGCCCCAGCCCUGAGAGGUUAAGCCAAGCCUUCUGGCUCCAUGUCACGUGGGCACUCCAGGCCUUAGGCCCCUUUCAGAGUGAGAGCAACUGAUGUCCACUCGCCUGGCACUGCCCACUCUGAGACCCAUGCACUGGGUUCCCCUGGAGGUGCCAACCCUGUGAGACCUUCCCCUGACGCUGAGAAGGCCCUGACACCCCUACCAUGUGUGAGGUGAUGCCCACAAUCAACGAGGGGGACCCUCUGGGGCCCCCCCAUGGCGCCGAUGCUGACGCCAACUUUGAGCAGCUGAUGGUGAACAUGCUGGAUGAGCGGGAGAAGUUGCUGGAGUCGCUUCGGGAGAGUCAGGAGACCUUGGCAGCCACGCAGAGCCGGCUCCAGGAUGCCCUACAUGAGCGGGACCAGCUCCAGCGCCACCUUAACUCCGCCCUCCCACAGGAAUUUGCCACCUUAACCCGGGAGCUGAGCAUGUGUCGGGAACAGCUUCUAGAGCGGGAGGAAGAGAUAUCAGAACUGAAAGCAGAACGGAAUAACACAAGGCUGCUUCUGGAACAUCUGGAGUGCCUGGUGUCCCGCCACGAGCGGUCACUGCGGAUGACUGUGGUGAAACGCCAGGCCCAGUCACCUUCAGGGGUCUCCAGUGAGGUGGAGGUGCUGAAGGCCCUCAAGUCACUGUUUGAGCACCACAAAGCCCUGGACGAGAAGGUUCGAGAGCGGCUCCGGGCAGCACUGGAGAGAGUGACUACCUUGGAGGAGCAGCUGGCAGGUGCCCACCAGCAGGUGUCUGCCUUGCAGCAGGGGAUAGGGGUGCGGGAUGGAGCUGCAGAAGAGGAGGGGACAGUGGAGCUGGGGCCGAAACGCCUAUGGAAGGAUGAGGCAGGCCGGUUGGAGGAACUACAGGAGCUCCUGGAGAAGCAGAACUUUGAGUUGAGCCAGGCCCGGGAACGACUGGUCACCCUGACAGCAUCUGUGACUGAACUUGAGGAGGACCUGGGCACAGCCCGCCGGGACCUCAUCAAGUCGGAGGAGCUGAGCAGCAAGCAUCAGCGGGACCUCCGGGAGGCUCUGGCCCAGAAGGAGGACAUGGAGGAGCGAAUCACCACAUUGGAGAAGCGCUACCUGGCUGCUCAGCGCGAGGCCACAUCCAUCCAUGACCUCAAUGACAAACUGGAGAAUGAGCUGGCCAACAAGGAGUCCCUACACCGCCAGUGUGAGGAGAAGGCCCGACACCUGCAGGAGCUGUUGGAGGUGGCAGAGCAGAAGCUGCAGCAGACGAUGCGCAGGGCAGAGACGCUACCAGAGGUGGAGGCUGAGCUGGCCCAGAGAAUUGCAGCCCUCACCAAGGCUGAAGAACGGCAUGGCAACAUUGAGGAACACCUGCGCCAGCUGGAGGGGCAGCUGGAGGAGAAGAACCAGGAGCUGGCAAGGGUGCGCCAACGGGAGAAGAUGAACGAGGACCACAACAAGCGGCUGUCAGACACCGUGGACCGGCUGCUUAGCGAGUCCAACGAGCGCCUGCAGCUCCACCUCAAGGAGCGCAUGGCCGCCCUCGAGGAGAAGAACACGCUGAUCCAGGAGUUGGAGAGCUCCCAGAGGCAGAUCGAGGAGCAGCAUCACCACAAGGGCCGCCUGUCCGAAGAGAUUGAGAAGCUGCGCCAAGAGGUGGACCAGCUGAAGGGUCGAGGGGGGCCGUUUGUGGAUGGCGUCCACUCCAGGUCACACAUGGGCAGUGCAGCAGAUGUGCGGUUCUCCCUGAGCACAACCACCCAUGCACCCCUAGGUCUGCAUCGCCGCUACUCAGCACUGAGGGAAGAGUCUGCCAAGGACUGGGAGCCAUCUCCACUGCCUGGGGUACUUGCCUCCUCGGCUGCCCCUGCCUUUGACAGUGACCCUGAGAUCUCUGACGUGGAUGAAGAUGAGCCCGGGGGUCUGGUGGGCUCUGUGGAUGUUGUCUCCCCUGGCGGUCACUCAGAUGCCCAGACCUUGGCCAUGAUGUUGCAGGAGCAGCUGGAUGCUAUCAAUGAAGAAAUCAGGAUGAUUCAGGAAGAGAAAGAGUCCACAGAGCUCCGCGCGGAGGAGAUCGAGACACGUGUGACUAGCAGCAGCAUGGAGGCCCUAAACUUGACACAGCUGCGCAAGCGCGGUUCCAUCCCCACCUCUCUGACCGCCCUGUCCCUGGCCAGUGCGUCCCCCCAACUCAGCGGCCGCUCUACACCUAAGCUUACCUCACGCAGCGCUGCCCAGGACCUGGACCGGAUGGGGGUCAUGACCCUGCCCAGUGACUUAAGAAAGCAUAGGAGAAAGCUGCUGUCGCCAGUGUCUCGGGAAGAGAACCGAGAGGAUAAAGCCACCAUAAAAUGUGAGACUUCUCCUCCUUCCUCACCCAGGACGCUGCGGCUAGAGAAGCUUGGCCACCCAGCCCUGAGUCAGGAAGAAGGGAAGAGUGCCUUGGAGGAUCAGGGCAGCAACCCCAGCAGCAGCAACAGCAGCCAGGACUCCUUGCACAAGGGUGCCAAGCGCAAGGGCAUCAAGUCAUCCAUUGGCCGCCUGUUUGGGAAGAAGGAGAAGGGCCGGCUGAUCCAGCUGAGUCGGGAUGGAGCCACGGGCCAUGUUAUGCUAACAGACUCCGAGCUCAGUCUGCAGGAGCCCAUGGUGCCUGCCAAGCUGGGGACUCAGGCAGAAAAGGACCGGCGGCUGAAGAAGAAACACCAGCUGCUUGAAGAUGCCCGCAGAAAAGGAACACCCUUUGCCCAGUGGGAUGGCCCUACUGUGGUGUCCUGGCUAGAGCUCUGGGUGGGGAUGCCUGCCUGGUAUGUGGCAGCCUGUCGGGCCAACGUUAAGAGUGGAGCCAUCAUGUCUGCCCUGUCGGACACAGAGAUCCAGCGGGAAAUUGGCAUCAGCAAUGCCCUGCACCGGCUCAAGCUCCGACUGGCCAUCCAGGAGAUGGUGUCACUGACUAGUCCCUCUGCCCCACCCACCUCCCGGACUUCUUCUGGAAACGUCUGGGUAACCCAUGAAGAGAUGGAAACCAUGGCAACAUCUACGAAAACAGACAGUGAGGAGGGCAGCUGGGCUCAGACUCUGGCCUAUGGGGACAUGAACCAUGAGUGGAUUGGGAAUGAAUGGCUGCCCAGCCUGGGGCUCCCUCAGUACCGCAGCUACUUCAUGGAAUGCCUGGUGGACGCUCGCAUGCUGGAUCACCUCACCAAGAAGGACCUGCGGGUCCAUCUGAAGAUGGUAGACAGCUUCCAUCGAACCAGCCUUCAGUAUGGCAUCAUGUGCCUGAAGAGGCUGAAUUAUGACCGGAAGGAGCUGGAGAAGAGGCGGGAGGAGAGCCAGCACGAGAUCAAGGAUGUGCUGGUCUGGACCAAUGACCAGGUGGUUCACUGGGUCCAGUCUAUUGGGCUCCGAGACUAUGCAGGAAACCUACAUGAGAGUGGUGUGCAUGGUGCCUUGCUGGCCCUGGACGAGAACUUUGACCACAAUACGCUGGCCCUGGUCCUCCAGAUCCCCACCCAGAACACCCAGGCACGCCAAGUGAUGGAGAGGGAGUUCAAUAACCUGUUGGCCUUGGGCACAGACCGGAGGCUAGAUGAUGGGGAUGACAAGGUGUUCCGCCGCGCGCCCUCCUGGAGGAAACGCUUCCGGCCGCGGGAGCCCCAUGGCAGCGGGGUGCUCAGCGCCUCUGCGGAGACCCUCCCGGCCGGCUUCCGCGUGUCCACCCUCGGGCCCCUGCAGCCCCCACAGGCCCCGCCAAAGAAGAUCAUGCCAGAAGCGGGGACGGCGGGGGCGCAGAGACUGGAGACCUCCACGGUUCGGACCUACUCCUGCUGACCCCCCACCCUCCCGCCCCGGGUCUGACGGGGGUGUGCCCGUGGCUCGGGCUCACUCCCACUAUCUCUAUGGACACAUGCUCUCUGCCUUCCGGGACUAGUCCCAGGGACCGGCUUCCUCCUUCUGGGUUUCACUGCCUUGGCUGGCCCUAACCCCUCCUGCUCGUUCCUCAUCUUCCCAUGCCUCCUAGUCUCCUCCGUGACUUUCCAGUUGCCCCGGAUCUCAGAAUAUACUUGUCAACGCCCUCAGCACCCCACUACCCCGAGUCCCACAGUAUUUCCAUUGUAAGUCCCUGGUAGAUGUGGCUGGGUCUCCUGGUGUUGUGGCCAUACCCAGGUUGUCCAUGCUUGGGAUUCUAGGGGAGGGGAGAAAGGCAACCCAAGGUGUGUGUGAUUCCACCCUCCCUCUUCUGGACUGAGCCUGUCUGGGCUGCACCUGCCACCGGGACAAGGAUCCUGGGCCAAGGGCUGGGAUGGCCCUUCCAAGAAAGGGUCACUUCAGACUCUGCCCUGCCUGGGCUAUUCCGCCUAGGCUCCCUGUCCGUGGCUGGCUGUGCCAGGUGGUGACUGCUGGCUGACUGCUGGUUUUGGCCCCCCCUACUACCACCCCUCCCCCAACCCAUCACUACAACUGCAGUUAAUGCCUCCAGGACCUGCUUUGGGGGUUGAUGGAGGCUGCAAAAGGCCUUCUUCUCUCUCAGGGUGGUAGGGCUGGAAGGAAGAAGACUGAGGUAGAAAUUCCAGGGCCUGGCUUAAGGUGAAUCCCAAAUGUGAGUUUGGGAAGAAUCAGAGAGAAAGGGAGCCCUGAGUUUCGGGUCAAGAUGAGGGUGGAGAGGCCCUCAGCACCCCUGCCCUUCCCCUAUUUAGGAAGGCCAGCCAAAGGGAGAGCCAAUGGCCUCUGGUAGCCUUAAGCCCAAUGGGCAAUUGGAAAGUGUCCUGCUAGGCUGGGAGUAGAGGAGGUUAUGUGGCUUGGGGCUGUGAGGUGGACAGAUCUAACCAUGCACUACUAACUCUGCUCCUAACAUCCCUUCCCUCCCCCCCCCCCCCCCCCGCCUCAUUGCUUUAGUGAUCUCUGCCCUAUAACAAUGAACUGGAUAUGAGGAUUGAAUAUACAUUGAUCCUAAAAUCAGGUUUGGGGAAAAAGGCAGAUUGAGGCUUCCUUUCUGACUUCCCAGGAAGAAAAUAAAGCUUUUCCUCCAGUGAAUCAUGUCCCUGGUCCAGGAAAUCCAAUGCUAAUGAAGGCAGUCACUCUCUUGCUUGUCCCCAAAUCACCAAACUCUUGUUCAGGGCUCUUUAGGGGUACAACUUGGGUUCUGAGCUGGGGCUGGGCUAGUAGGUGGGAUAAUGGUCCAGAGCACCCCAUCUGGAGGGGUGACGGGGCUUGGGGCAAUGCCAGGGCUUUCCGCCUUUUGCCACUUCUCAGUAGAGGAGAGGUUCUCCAGUGGUGUGUCAGGGUGGGUGCUCCCUAGGCUUGGGCAAGGCAACCACCUACCCUUGCUCUCCCUCACUCUUCCCUGGCCUCCCUGCCCACCAGGCUUCUGGGUCUGGAGGUGGAGGAGUUAUUGAGUAGAAAACGAUGGGGGCAGGAAGAACCCCCAUCCUUGGGUAAUGGAUGCUAAGAUUAUGGAGAAACCCCACAUUCCUAAGAUUGGUGGAGUUGAGCACUAUGAGGCCAUCUAACUCCUUCAGAUCAGUGGCCUAGCUGUGUGGGAGAUUGAGCCCUAGCCUCUCCUCUCUAUGGCAUAACUCCAUCAUGGUUGACCACGUCAUAAGGCAGCUGCUGGGGGGAGCCCAAACAUUUAGGUCACCAUGGGAAGUAUUGCAGCGAGGUGAUAGGGAAAAGAAAUCCGUGCAUCCAGUGAUGGUGUCUUAGCAUAGCUCUUGCCUCGUAGUCCAAUAUAUUUUUUUCCUUUGGAGAGUCACCAGUGACCUAAGCCUUCCUCACCAGCCUCCUGUGUCUCAUCAGGUCCCUUAUCAGUACUGUAUUGGCCCAGUGCACCAGGAGUGGGUGUAUGGGUGUGUGUGGAUGUAAGUGUGGGUGUGUACACACCAAUAAAUAACCCGGUUUUAAGACAACAUACAAAUGGUCUGGUCUUU